rnacentral:rRNA from 1 species
GUAUGUACUGGUGUUACUGAUUCCUCCCUUCUGACGAACUAUCAUGCCAUUUACUUGGUGUGGUGGGAAAUCAGAACUGUUACUUUGAAAAAAUUAGAGUGUUUAAAGCAGGCUCACGCUUGAAUACAUUAGCAUGGAAUAAUGAAAUAGGACGUUGAUCUUAUUUUGUUGGUUUCUAGGAUUGACGUAAUGAUUAAUAGGGAUAGUUGGGGGCAUUAGUAUUCAAUUGUCAGAGGUGAAAUUCUUGGAUUUAUUGAAGACUAACUACUGCGAAAGCAUUUGCCAAGGAUGUUUUCAUUAAUCAAGAACGAAAGUUAGGGGAUCGAAGACGAUCAGAUACCGUCGUAGUCUUAACCAUAAACUAUGCCGACUAGGGAUCGGAUGAUGUUAAUUUUUUUAAUGACUCAUUCGGCGCCUUACG